GAAGGGGGCUAGCGUUGCUCGGAAUUACUGGGCGUAAAGGGAGCGUAGGCGGACAUUUAAGUCAGGGGUGAAAUCCCGGGGCUCAACCUCGGAAUUGCCUUUGAUACUGGGUGUCUUGAGUAUGAGAGAGGUAUGUGGAACUCCGAGUGUAGAGGUGAAAUUCGUAGAUAUUCGGAAGAACACCAGUGGCGAAGGCGACAUACUGGCUCAUUACUGACGCUGAGGCUCGAAAGCGUGGGGAGCAAACAGGAUUAGAUACCCUGGUAGUCCACGCCGUAAACGAUGAUUGCUAGUUGUCGGGAUGCAUGCAUUUCGGUGACGCAGCUAACGCAUUAAGCAAUCCGCCUGGGGAGUACGGUC
rnacentral:rRNA from 1 species